GAUGAACGCUGGCGGCGUGCCUAAUACAUGCAAGUCGAACGCUGGAAAUCUAGCUUGCUAGAUUGAAGGAGUGGCGAACGGGUGAGUAAUACAUAAGCAACCUACCCACGAAGACUGGGAUAAUCUCUGGAAACGGGGACUAAUACCGGAUAGGUAAUCGGAAGGCAUCUUCUGAUUAUUAAAGGUUAAAAACACUGGUGGAUGGGCUUAUGGCGCAUUAGUUAGUUGGUGAGGUAACGGCCCACCAAGACGAUGAUGCGUAGCCGGCCUGAGAGGGUGAACAGCCACAUUGGGACUGAGACACGGCCCAGACACCUACGGGAGGCAGCAGUAGGGAAUUUUCGGCAAUGGGGGAAACCCUGACCGAGCAACGCCGCGUGAGUGAUGACGGCCUUCGGGUUGUAAAGCUCUGUUGUAAGGGAAGAACGGUAGAUAGAGAAUAUCUAAAUGACGGUACCUUACCAGAAAGCCACGGCUAACUACGUG
rnacentral:rRNA from 1 species